rnacentral:rRNA from 1 species
UACGUAGGGGGCAAGCGUUGUCCGGAUUUAUUGGGCGUAAAGAGCUCGUAGGUGGUUCGGUAAGUCGGAUGUGAAAUCUCCAGGCUCAACCUGGAGGGGUCAUUCGAUACUGCCGUGACUAGAGGUCGGUAGGGGAGUGUGGAAUUCCUGGUGGAGCGGUGAAAUGCGCAGAUAUCAGGAGGAACACCCGUAGCGAAGGCGGCGUUCUGGACUGUUUCUGACACUGAAAAACGAAAGCCAGGGGAGCAAACGGG